AAAAGGUUUAUUUGACUUACACUUAUUCCAUGCCACUGGUCAUCACUGUAGGAAGUCAAGACAAGAACUCAAACCUAGAUGGAGGAGCUGAUGCAGAGGUCAUGGAGGAUGAUGCUUAUUGACCCACUCUUCAUGGCUUGCUUAGCCUGCUUCCUUAUAGAACCCAGGAUUACCAGUCCAAUGAUAGCACCAGCCACAGUGUGCUAGAUCAAUCACUAAUUAAGAAAAUGCCCUACAGCCAGGUCUUAUGAAGGCAUUUUUUUCAAUUCAGGUUCACUCCUUUCAGAAACUCUAACUUAUAUCAAGCUGACAUAAAACUACCCAGCAUCCUCACACCCACUCCAAAGAUACUGGCAAAGGUACACUCUUAGUUUAGGUUACAAACUAUCUCCACAUCAAGCUAGGAUAUAUGGUUUACUAUCUACAGGAGCUGUUUGGGCCAAGUAUCAACCCAAAUUUAAGUCAAAAUUAUUUCAUUAUCCUCUAAGAUAGUAGUUUUCAACCUUUGAGUCGCAACCCCUUUGGGGUCGAAUAGCAAACAUUUUACAUUGCAGAUAUUUACAUUAUGAUUUAUAACUAGCAAAAUUACAGUUUUGAAAUAGCAAAGAAAUAAUUUUAUGGGGGGAUUGUCUUAGGGUUCUAUUGCUAUGAAGAGACUCCAUGACCAAGGCAACUAUUAAUAAGGAAAACAUUUAAUUGGGACUAGCUUACAGUUUCAGAGGUUCAGUCCAUUAUCAUCAUGGUGGGAAGCAUGGCAGAUAUGGUGCCGGAGAAGUACGUUGUGCUUAGUGAAGAAGCCAGCCUGUUGGCUUCAGUUCAGAUGGGAUUCUAGAGAAGGCAAUAGUAUAAGAGCAGAGACUGGAUCAGAGGUUGCUAGAGAUUGAGGGUGGGCAUGGUAAUGGUCUGAACCCAAAUGGAUAGUACAUUUUCAAGGAAAUUCUUUGGUAACUCUGUGGGCUAAUUUUAUGUCAACUUGGCACAAGCUGGAGUCAUCUCAGAGGAAGAAGCCUCCAUUGAGAAAAUGCUGGCAUGAGAUCAGGGUGUAGGUAGGCUUAUAGGGCAUUUUCAUAAUUAGUGAUUAAUGUGGGAGGAUCCAACCUAUGGUGGAUGGUAUUAUCUAUGGCCUGGUGGUCCUAGUUGCUAUAAGAAAGCAAGCUGAGCAAAUCAUGAAGACUGAGAUAUUAAACAGCACUCCUCCAUGGCCUCUGCAUCAGCUCUUGCCUCCAGGUUCCUGACCAGUUUGAAUUCCUGACUUAGCUUCCCUUAGUGGACUGUUAUUCAGUCUGUGUAAGACAAAUAAACCCUGGUUCAUUGCAGCAAUAGACACCCCACCUAAGGCAGUGGCAUAAAAAGAAACAUUUAACAUUAUUAAUCAAUUAUAGCAAGUUAUACACCCCCAAAGAAGAAAUUUUACUGUAUAAAAAUUAAAAAUGAAUUUGAAAGUUUUAUAAUAAACUUUUAGGAUAUUUAAGAUUCAAAACUCCCCCCAAAUCCCUUCAUAUUUGAUAUGGGUAAGGCAAAUGUCCUACUUUUUGUCAAACAUUCAAUAAGCAAGUCUUUUCAGGCUUCUAUAAUCAGAGUGCACUCACUCUAAUUAUAAAACAUGUUAAUUUUUAAAACUAUGAGUGAGAACUUUUUAAAGAAAAAGAACCUAAAAGUGAGGCAAGAUACUUGGCAAGUCCAAAUCUACUUAACUCAGUUUUCUUUAUGUAAGGCACAUUUUUUAACUAAGUAAAAUCAUCCUGCCUGACUAUCUACAUGACUGAAGCUUAAUAUUAUCCACUGACUUCAGUCUCACCUCAGUCACAGUCAUGUUAAAUCAUCAACAUUCUAGACUGUUGUUUUUAAGAAUUAUGUGUAUCCCUAGUAGAACUUAAGACUCCUUUGCAGGGGGGUUGGGGAUUUAGCUCAGUGGUAGAGCGCUUGCCUAGCAAGCACAAGGCCCUGGGUUUGGUACCCAGCUCCGAAAAAAAAGAAAAAAGAAAAAAAAUUCCUUUGCAGGGAAAUUUGCAGGGAAAUAAAAAAGUGAGCCUUACAUUUUUGUAUUUUUACACUAGUUCAGGUGUGAGAUAUUAAGGAGAAGCUUUGCAGUUCAGAUAACAUGAGCUUUGGAAUCACCUAAAAUCAUUUUCUUACACUAUGGAAGUCACUUGUUUAGUAGGCAAGAAUUAGAGGAACAGAAUCAGAAACAGAUGUUCCCCUUAUUCUCAGUCAAUUUCCAUGCCUCUGGGGUCAGAUCACAAAGACUUAGAAGUACUUCUGCUAAUUAGUCAUUAUUGAGAUUAAUUUGCUAAAACAGUUUGAAAGUGGCAUUGCUUUUAGUAUUGCGCAUCGAUACUAGUCCCUGAAGCUAAAUGGGUUUCUUUCUUUUCCCAGUUUAAUGUCCAGUUAGGACAGAUAGUAUUUGGUGUAUAUGCAGCAAACAUUAUUCAAUAAGUAUAUGAUUAUUGACAGAAAUGAGCUUUUAAUAAAUACUAUUUCCACAUAGUUGAGUCUCAAAUUGUUUAUCUCUUCUCACUAGAGAAUCUUGUUUCAAACUUCCAACAUAAAACUACCUCUGGGCAUUGGUCUCUGCUUACUUUCUAGUAUCCUGUUUUGUCCUCAGUACUUUCCAGAUCAAAGAGCCAUCAAGUUCCCCAACUGUUGCCUACCCCUAAGUCCUAUGAGGGCUACAAAGCCACAACAACCAAAUAAUGCCUAAAUAAUAGUCAUGAAUCCAACUCAUUUUUCUUCCACUUCAAAACUAUAACAUGUCUGUAUGCAAGUGACUGAAAUAACGUCAAUCAAGGAAGAUUUUAGAACUACACAUAGGAUCACACACACACACACACACACACACACACACACACACACACACAGCAACAAAUAUCAGUGCCAGUAUGAGUAGUCCACACUGCCAUAAUUCUAAAUAGAAGAGAGGGGUAUAUACCUUCCAGUGGGUUUGAGAAGAGUCUUCAGUUCUUUCCUUCCCAGUCUUCUUUCCUCACCAUCCCCCUCAGCAAAUUUGUUCAAUUCCAUAACUAUUAUUACCACAAAGGGCCCAGGACCCACAUUUUUAAAUGUCUGCCAGGCAUUGAGUCCAACAAUACCUCUAAUAUAGGCUCUUUCCUGAUUUGCUUAUUAGUUUUCCUAUCAUCUCCUAGAAAACCAAACAUAAAGGUAGAAAUUUCUAGUAUAUAUUCAUCUCUUAUGCUUAAACAACCUUGGCAAACCAGCCAUUCCAGUGCCCUUAGAGCCUCUCAUAGUCUCUUUUUUACCUCUCUGUUUCCAUCAUCAGUACUUAACUAUGGAGUUUAUCAUCAGUACCUGACUAUGGGAUUUAUUUUGUUUCCUUCCUAACUUAGCUUCUUUGCCCAAUAUCUCCCAUUCUCACCCAUUACUCGUUCUUCUAUCUCCUGAAUAAUUCCAACUUGGAUUAGAGCACCGCAGUUCCAGUCAAUAGCCUCCAAUGGUUCCCAGUUGCUCACAAGUCUGUGCAACUCCCCCAACCACCACCAAGACAGGGUUUUUGUGUGUGUCUCUGCCUGUCCUAGAACUCACUUUGUAGCCCAGGCUGGUCUUGAAUUCAUAGUCCCCCCCCCUCCCCCUAUUCUCCUCCACCCUGCCUCUUCUGAAUGAGGGGAUUAAAGAUGCUGCAUACCACCAUUGCCUGUCUGUGCUUCUUAAGUCACAGGAAAGACUCUUCGUAGUCCCUUGCAAGCACCUUUAUGUGUCUCCUAUGCCAGUUAAGUACCACUAUCCUUUCCUCAAACAUCUCCCACUAGCUUCCAACAUCUUCCCACUUAAAAUGUUGUAGUACUAUAUCACUGAUACAAACUCCUGAGUUCCAGAAUUGUUUCUGUCUGAAGGAAUUGCAGGGACAAAAUAUGGAGAAGAACAUGAGAAAAAGGAGGUCCAGUGACAGGUCCAAAUUGGGAUACAACUCAAGGGGAGACCCAGGGUCCUGACACUGUUAUUGAUGCUGACAUACUUGCAGACAGGACCCUUGCAUGGCUACCCUCUGAGAGGCUCAACAUGCAACUGAGUCAAAUGCAGAUAAUGGACAGAAGCCAGGACCCCUGUGGUUGAAUUGGGAAAAACUGGAAGAAGCUGAGGAGGAAGGUGACCCCAUGGGAAGACCAGCAGUCUCAACUAACCUGGACUACUCCCUGGAAUCUCUCAGACACUAAGCCAUUAAUCAGGCAGCAUACACCAGCUGCUAUGAAAUGCCUAACACAUAUACAACAGAGGACUGCUUGGUAUGGCCUCAAUGAGAGAAGAUGCACCUAACCUUCUAGAGACUUGAAGGGAGUGGGGAGGCCUACUCGGGUAGGGGUGGGGACAUCUUGGAGAGGCAGGGAGGAGGUAUGGGAUGCGGAGUAGUAGGGGAUGGGGCAGACCAGGAGGGGGAUGAAGUCUGGACUGUAAAAAGGGAUUAAAGAUUUUUUAAUUAAUUAAUUAAUUAAUUAAAAAAUCAAAACAAAAACCUCCUGGGUUCUUUUUCUCACUACUGUGACAGUCAGCUGAUAGAAGCAUCUCAAGUAAGUAAAGUUUUGUUUUAGUGAACAGUUUGCAGAAUAUCAACUAGUCCUUGCAGUGAGGAGUCAUGGUGGCCAGGUUGACUCUGUUUGUACUAAAAUAUAUUUUGAAGGAGCUGAGACCCACCUUUCAGAAGAUCAGGAAGCAAACUGGAAACCAAUAUAUCACCCUCAUCCUCAAGUGUCAUCCCAGUAUCUAUGUCUGCUGGCUAGGCCUUAUGUCCCAAAGGUCCUACCACUUUCCAAAACAGUAUCAACAGCUAGGAACACCAUUGAAUCUGAAAGUCUGUGGGAGGACAUUUUAGCUCCAAAUACAAGCUUAUGUACCAAACCAAAUGUUUACCAGCAAUGUAGAACCAGUGUCACCAAUUGAAGUCUAUAUAAUGCUUCUUACAGAACAUGCCUCAUUUUUAUAUCUUAUUUCCUGUUAGACUCCACUGCCUAGUUCUAGCUCUGUAAAUAUUCUAACCUAAAAAUAUCAUGUUGCUUAAUUUCCCAAAUUCCAAGCAUUAGCAAAAGGUCUCUAAAUAGUAUACUAUAAAAUGCCAAGGACCAGCUACUUGAAUCAGUAUUGAAUAAUUGAUUGAAAAUAAAAGUGACAGAUCAUAACUGUGAUUCUAGCCCUCUAAGUUGAAUUAAAAUGAUAUCCCAAGUUUAUAAGUAUAUUUAUUGUAUACUUUCUGCUAUAGUAAGUACUAGAAGUAAGUAGUAGGCAGCCACUGAUCUUUCUGUGCUUCUGGUCAUAAAGUAACUAGCAUUUUCCCAUGGGAACAAGUGAUAUUAUUGGGGCACUUUUGACCAAAGACACAUUGUCAAAUAAAUCAUGGCAAUGAAUAACAUGCAACAUAAGCAAGAUAUGACAACCAUAAAAUCUAAUCAUUUUGAAUUAUCAUAUGAGUUUUUCAAAUGUGCAUGAAGACACUGCAUAUUUGUUACACAAAAGAUUGCAAUGCAACACAAAUUAUACUUUCCAUAACUCUCACUAAGGUCACCAAAGCUGAAUGGAAUUUUUUUAUAUUUAGAAGGAUGUUAAGUGUUGGCAUGAAAUGGGAUGGUUCAAAUAAUUCAGUGCUCUUUCAAAAGCAUCAACAAAAAUAGUUUCCAAUGUACCCACAAUGGUUCAACAUGGCAUGUUCAGUUUAACUCUUCAAACCUCAAAGUCAUGUCCAAAAGUAGACUGCUAGAUUUGGAAAACAAAGUCUGAGAUCUGGCCUGGCUCAAGUACUCAUAAUCUGGACCAUAUACAACUUCUCUGAGCCUUGCUGAUCUCAAGCACUAGAGUCUACAACAAUAGUUGCUACCUUACAAAAUUCUAGGGAAAAGAAAUCCAGAGAUAAUAUAACAUAACUGCUUUUAAACUAUAAAGCCUUAUCAAGAAUAAGCUAGUAAGCCUGGUAUGGUGGGAUAGGACUGCAGUCUCAGCACUCGUGAGAUUGGAGAUAUGGUUUGAAGCCAGUCUGAACUCUACAGUGAGACCCUAUUUCUUUAUGGUGGUAUUGUUCACUAUUAGCAGGUUAGAAAUGAAAAGCUAAAUAGACAAGCAGCAUAUUUCUCUUCUACUUAAUUCUUGAAUUUGUUUGGAAACAUGUGAGAUUCUUUCUGGCACUCUUCUUAGGAUCUUUUUUUUUUUCUUUUGGGGUUUUGCACUAUGCUGAAAAGUCAAAGGCAAUUAUCACACAUGAGAACGAGGUUGUUAGUCACUGCGUUAUGGACCACUCUCUGCACCUACACCAAGAAAGGAGAGCUGUUUGCCUUGCUUUGCUUUGCAUUUUCUGCUUGUUUGUCUUGGUGUUUAGGGUAUGCAUGAGAGUAAAAUAUGACUUUUCUUUCCAAAGGGCACACAACCUCUUCUAGUUAGGUCUACUAAUGAGAAAAGGCAAAAGGAAGGAAGGAGGGAAGGAAGGAAGGAAGAGAGAGAGAGAGAGAGAAAGAAAGAAACCAACAAACAAAAUUAGAGAAAAAAGAAGCUUAUGUUGGAUGAGAUUUCUGAGUACUUGUGAGAAAAACUCCAAGAAGCAAGACAAGAGUCUUGUGACAUCAGUUUCAUCAAAAACACAGAAUUGCUCUUGGAUUAUGCUUUCUUGCCCCUCCCAGGUGUAGUGGAUAGGAAUGAGUUUACAUCAGAUUAUUUAUUAUAGCUUGCUAUUGUUAUGUGCUUGUGUGGAAAAAAAAACAUGUUUCUGCCAUGUGCUUGUUUACCUGUCCCAUGUAGCUGGCCAUUAUGAAUGUACACUUUACUCAUGUGUCUCUUUUUAACUCUCAGAGUAUAAAUUGUCUGGUGCUCUGAAUAAAGUUGGCUAUUUCAUAAGACUUUAGCCAGCCUUAAUUAUUGACUCCAUUUCCCAGGUCUCACACCACUUUUAUAGCAACAAACAGCUUCCACGGUGUUAGUGAAAAUGAAGUAUUAGAGAAUUGAAUUAGAGAUUUAAAGUUAGACUUUUAGAGAAGUAAAGAGAAUCUGUUGAGUUCAAGUAAUCUAAAAAGAAUAAAAAUACAUCUACACUAUCCAUCUGUCCUGUUCUAUUGCCCUAUCACACUCAGCCCCAACUGUGAAGGAAGGAAUAAAACAGAUGAUGAAGCAGGACUGCUGGGUAGAUUGAUAGGUACCAAGAGGCUAGCCAAACUUUCUUUACCUCUACCUAGAUCAAACACUUACAAAAGAGCCAGACUGUCCUAAAGUGAGCAAAGAGCCUCGGAUACUAAUAUAGAGAAAGGUGUUCAGGGGAGGUUAGCUUAUGGGAAGAAGCAGAGGCAGCCUGUGCCAGGAUAUGCACUAACUAAUCCCAGCAUCCUAGUAUAUAAGAGGGAACAUGGAACUGGUACCUGAACGACUGCCAUGAUGGGCAGUCUUCUCCAGAAAACCAUUAGACUUGGGUGUUCUUUGUAUACAUGGCUACAGAAAGACUCAACCUCCCUUCCCAACAUCCAUAUAAGUGCCACUCUUAACCCUUCCCUAGAUGAACAUACAAUCUACAGAAAUACAAGAUGUUUGCUGAAACCCACUUCAGCUUAGGGUCUCUGGUUGUUAUUUUAAUCUAUAUAGCACUCCAUCUGUAACACUUCCUAACAAGAAAUUAUUAAACAAUGCCUACUCUUGACUAACCUGGUCUGGAACUUCUCCUGCCUCAUCCUCUCAACUGUUAGGAUAAGCAGGCUUAUUACUAUCUUUAUUGGGCAGAAAAUAUACAUUAAAAUGUUUGUAUACAUUGAAAUGUUUGGUUAGAUGCUAAUUAAAAUCAAAGGUUACAUAUUAAAUCUGUCAACACUGGACAAGCUCACCUAAAAUAAUCUCCUGAACCAAGAAAUUAUCAGGUUUUUAAACACCUCCAACUCAUGAUAAUCUAGUACUACCAUCCCUAUGACAUUUUGUUCUGUUUCACUUAUUUGGGUAUCAAAUGGUUCCUGAAGAUAUCAGGGACAUCUGAAAUGGUUGCUAAAUAUGCAGCAACUAGAGAUGAGGGGUGACCAUACAUCCAAAGGCCACAAAAUUUCUUAAUGGUCAAGCAGCAUCUCUUUGAAUUCCACAUGUAUACAUCAGAGCCACAGUAGGUCCUUCCUCAUACUACUUCUUUUUGUAAUUGUGAAAUAAAACAAUAUCUAUUCAGUGUAUAUAGGUGCUAGGUUAAAAAGCUGACUUAGACCCACAUAAUAAGUUAGGCAGGUUGCUUUUAAAUUAACAAGGUCUCAGAUUCCUCUCAUAAAAUGAGUGGGUUUGUUUAGAGUGAUUAUUACAAUAAUUUUUAUUGACAUCUCUUCAUCUGUACCAGUCAACUUAUCAAGAAUUUACUUGGCCUUCAAGAGACCUUAAAAUUUUUAACACCUCCACAAAAACUUCAGGACAUUGUUCUUUGCAUUUUUUAAGCUCAUCACAAACAUAUCCAAAUUAGUAUCUAGUAAUUUUCUAAUUGCUUUGCUAUGUGUUAGUUCAUUCACAUUUAUACAGAAAACUCCCCUGGAAACCAUAAAGCUUAAUAUUUAAAGUUUUCCACAAUACAUUACACUUAUCUGGCAUUCAUUGAUUAAUCAUUUAAGCUGAACCUGAACAAAGAUACAGAAAACAUGUAUACAGUGGUAACCCUCCAAAAGGGUGACUUUUAUCAGUCUCCUUCAAACUAUUCUUAUGGGCAGCACAACUUGACCAUCUGAUUUGUAGUGGCAUAAGCAAUCAAAAUAUCUGUUGGACAGUGCUACAUUGGCAUGUUACAUUGUACAGGAAGAUUGUUUCCAUCCCCAGUUGGAGAGUUCAAAAGGGAAAAAUAAUGCAACUAAACCUUAGUUUGCUAUACCGUCAUAUUACCUAUUAAUAACGAUUUUAUUCCCAAUAAAAUCAGGUGUGAGAAAAAUUUUACCUAAAAUGAAGAUAAUAAUCAGCUACUAGAAAGGCGGGCAGAAAUUAGACAUUUGAAAACUCCCCCAGUCUUUGGAUGUCAUCAGAAUUCUUAGUAAGAGGAGACUAAGUUUGGAUGUCCUGUGGGUGGGGAUUUACCCACCCUCACCGAAACAGCAGUAGGAUACAGGCUUAACUUGUUCUAGGCAAACCUCCCCCAUUUCCAUUUUCACUCUGCCCCCAAAUAACUAAGGCAUUAGCUAUGUGCUAAGUUCUUCCCUAUAAAAGUAAAUAAAAGUACAAAGAAAGAUUCACACAAAAGUCCUUUCCAGACUAUCACUUAGAUAUUUGAGUCAGGUAUUUUUAUAACAUGAAGCUUUUUUCCCCUGUAAAAGUACAUUUCUUGGGGUUGGGGAUUUAGCUCAGCGGUAGAGCGCUUGCCUAGGAAGCGCAAGGCCCUGGGUUCGGUCCCCAGCUCCGAAAAAAAAAAAAAAAAAGAAAAAAAAAGUACAUUUCUUAAUUCAUCCCUUAUUAUUGCCUUAAUUUCCUUGUUCAAUGAAUUUAAGUUAACUAACACUAUAUGAACACCAAAGUAACAGGUGUAAACCAUGGAUUAACAAAGCCAAUACUAUCGGGCUGAAAUUAGGGCAGUUUACAAAGUGAUCCAAUGAAACUAGACUUGAUAUUCAGGCUUUUAUUAGAUUAAAUGGUAGAGAUUACUAUACUACAGAAAGAAUUCCUUUUGAGACUUUCAUAGCAAGCAUUCAUAGAAUGCUGAGGAGUCUGGAAAAAGGGGGAUUUACUAAGGUGUGGGGUGGAUAGAGAAUAGAGACUAUCAUAGCCCAAACUGUAUUUAAAGGCUACAAAAAUACUGUGUAAAUACCUAGAAAAGAAUUCCAAAAAGAACGUGGUAGGGUUUUACAAUACUGAACAUCUUGAUGUUUAAAACAAAAAGCGGUCAUCUUUACAGAGUGCAUAUCCCCGCUUUUUUUUUUUUUUAAUGGAACUCAGUCUUUUUUUUUUCUUUUAGAUUUAUUCAUUUAUUAUAUAUAAGUACACUGAGGCUGUCUUCAGACACACCAGAAGAGGUGUGAGCCACCAUGUGGUUGCUGGGAAUUGAACUCAGGACCUCUGGAAGAGUAGUUGGGUGCUCUUAACCGCUGAGCCAUCUCUCCAGCCCAUAUCCCUGCUUUUAAAUCUUUCACAGCUUUUGUUGUUGUUGUUGUUGCUGCUGCUGCUGCUGUUGUUGUUUCUAUUUUGUUGCUGUUGUUUUCUGAGACAGGGCUCGAUUUGUAUCCCAGACUGGCCUGGCCUAGAACCUUCCACAGUCAGUCUCCCAGCCUCAACUUGGCAAUUGUUUGCUUUUGUCUUGUGUUUCUGAUCAUCCAAUUAAUUGACCUUCUCAGGGGAAACCUAUCUAGUCUAUCCACACACGGCUUAAAGUGGACUGCUGUAGACACCCUCCUCUAGCCAUGCACAGACACAGCGUAAACUGGACUGGAAAGUUAGCCAAAUCUCCUCACACUUUGGCCUCUACCUCCUCCAUUUAACCUCGGUAAGACCUCCUAGCCUAAAACCUAGUCAGGUUUUCUUACAGCCCUGUCAAAUGAAACGCACAGACCUCAAACAAAACACAGAAAAUGGGUGGUAUCAGUGUCUCUUUUCACCUAGGUCAGUUCUACUCUUCUACACUUCUGAAAGAAGAAACCCCAAACAGUAUGGUUUUCCCAUGCCCCAUAAAAGGCAUAAUCCUGAUCAUAUAUGAGCUCCAGUGCACAUUUCAUUCCUAUGAAAUCACACACGUAUGAGUUGGUUUUGAAAGACUCUGAGGUCCAACUCUAUUGUAUCAUGCCCACCACUCAAAACACAUUUAAUCCUCUGGUAUAAUUUUGUGCUUAAGUUGUUCCAUACAAUCUCACACAGCUACUGAAGACUACAGCCGAUUUGGUAACUUCAAGUCUGGAAUUAAAAAUGAAUAAAUAAACAAAUAAUCCUCUGUUCCACCCCAAUACCGAACCUCCUUUUAAGGAAAAGCUCUCCAGUGACUGCCUACUGUCUCUGCCCCACUGAGGCUUAUCAAGGUCUAACUUGUGCAGCUAUCGGGGAAACAAAAUCGGUACUUGGUCACCUGUCCUGCUUUCACCCAUACCGAAUGGGGAUCUUCCCCACGGACCACAAGAACAGGUUGACCGUUACAGCGUUCGGUCCACUAUUACCCCUCAAUGGGUGCGGCUCCGACAUAGGCUUUUGUAACCUUGACACACAGUUGGGGGGGGUGGAAUCCCCAAAUAGGUCCAGCCAAUCGCCGCAGGAGAACCAAGACGAGACGUGACGUCAAAUGAGAUUAACUCAGCGCGUCACCCCGACGUCAGCCUUUCCUCUGUCGGACGUCCUGUCCUGAGAGCAAAACUCCAGCGACUUUGGGCUCCGCCCCCUUGAGGAAGAGCAGCCAAUGAGGGAGGCUCUGUGCGGAUUCAGACCAAUGAGGAGAGGCCAGGGCUGGGUGCGGGCUCGAGGGUGGGGCGGGCGGCAGUCGUGGAAACCCAAGGUCUUACUGCGCGCAGUAUAUGACAGUACGUCAGCAGCGGGAUGGCCGUAGCUGUGGCGGCGGCUGCAGGAGCCGGAGCAGCCGCGGCCGCAGUGGAGGCUGGAGCCCGAACGGCGUCCGCGGUGGCACCCCGGGGAGUUUAAGAUGGCGGCGGGGGGUGCUGCGGGGCUGCGGGAGGAGCAGCGCUACGGGCUGGCGUGCGGGCGGCUGGGGCAGGACAACAUCACCGUGCUACAUGUGAAGCUCACCGAGACGGCGAUCCGGGCGCUGGAGACUUACCAGAGCCAAAAGAGUUUAAUUCCUUUUCAACCUUCAAUUCAGUUCCAAGGACUCCAAGGGCUUAUGAAAAUUCCCAAAAAUGAUCCCUUCAAUGAAGUCCACAACUUUAACUUCUAUUUGUCAAACGUGGGGAAAGAUAACCCUCAGGGCAGCUUUGACUGCAUCCAGCAAACACUCUCUAGCUCUGGAGCCUCUCAGCUCAAUUGCCUGGGAUUUAUACAGGAUAAAAUUACAGUGUGUGCAACAAAUGAUUCCUAUCAAAUGACUCGAGAAAGAAUGACCCAGGCCGAGGAGGAAUCCCGUAAUCGAAGCACAAAAGUUAUCAAACCCGGUGGACCAUAUGUAGGGAAAAGAGUGCAAAUUCGUAAAGCACCUCAAGCCAUCUCGGAUGCAGUGCCUGAGAGGAAAAGGUCAACGCCCAUGAACCCUGCAAAUACAAUUCGAAAGAUGCAUGGUGGCAGCAGUGUCUCUCAGAGGCCGUACAGGGACAGAGUCAUUCAUUUACUGGCACUAAAAGCCUAUAAGAAACCUGAGCUGCUUGCCCGACUGCAGAAAGAUGGUGUCAAUCAAAAAGACAAGAACUCCUUGGGAGCAAUUUUGCAACAGGUGGCCAAUCUGAAUCCUAAGGACCUCUCCUAUACUUUAAAGGAUUAUGUAUUUAAGGAGCUCCAGCGGGACUGGCCAGGUUACAGUGAGACAGACAAACAGACACUGGAUUUGGUGCUCUCUAGAAAAUUAAAUCCAUCUCAGAAUGCUGGCACUAGCCGGCCAGAGUCUCCCAUGUGUUCCAGCAAAGAUGCUGCCUCAUCUCCUCAGAAACGACCUUUGGAUUCAGAUUUCAUUGAUCCUUUAACGAACAAAAAAGCUCGAAUAUCUCACCUGACAAACAGAGUCCCACCGACAUUAAAUGGCCAUUUGAAUCCCACCAAUGAAAAAUCUUGUGCAAGCCUUCUACCGCCCCCUGCAGCUGCUGCCAUCCCCACCCCCUCACCACUGCCUUCAACCCACCUGCCUGUCUCCAAUCCUACCCAGACUGUAAAUUCCAACUCCAAUUCCCCUAGCACUCCAGAAGGCCGGGGGACUCAAGACCUACCUGUUGACAGUUUUAGUCAAAACAGUAGCAUCUUUGAGGACCAGCAAGACAAAUAUACCUCAAGGACUUGUCUGGAGGAAACAUUACCCUCUAGCUCAGCUUUACUAAAGUGUCCAAAGCCCAUGGAAGAAGAACAUCCAGUGUCUCACAAAAAGUCCAAAAAGAAGUCUAAAAAACACAAGGAAAAGGACCAAAUAAAGAAACAUGACAUUGAGAGCAGGGAGGAAAAGGAGAAAGACCUUCAGAGAGAAGAAACUGCCAAGCUGAGUAAUGACAGUCCAAAUCCCAAUGAAGGAGUUAAAGAAGAGUGCACAGCUUCCAUGGAGCCUUCUUCAACAAUUGAACUCCCAGAUUAUUUGAUAAAAUAUAUUGCUAUUGUCUCUUAUGAACAACGCCAGAAUUACAAGGAUGACUUCAAUGCUGAGUAUGAUGAAUAUAGAGCUUUGCAUGCCAGGAUGGAGACUGUAGCCAGGAGAUUUAUUAAACUGGAUGCACAACGAAAACGCCUUUCUCCAGGUUCAAAAGAGUAUCAGCUGCUGCCAAAUUGCCCUCCAUAAAAGUGUCCCAAGUUGUAUCUCCUCAUCAGUAUUACACCUUGCAGAAUGUUCAUGAAGAAGUCUUACAAGAAUAUCAGAAGAUCAAGCAGUCCAGUCCCAAUUACCAUGAAGAAAAA